rnacentral:rRNA from 1 species
GACGAACGCUGGCGGCGUGCCUAAUACAUGCAAGUUGAGCGCUGAAGGUUGGUACUUGUACCAACUGGAUGAGCAGCGAACGGGUGAGUAACGCGUGGGGAAUCUGCCUUUGAGCGGGGGACAACAUUUGGAAACGAAUGCUAAUACCGCAUAAAAACUUUAAACACAAGUUUUAAGUUUGAAAGAUGCAAUUGCAUCACUCAAAGAUGAUCCCGCGUUGUAUUAGCUAGUUGGUGAGGUAAAGGCUCACCAAGGCGAUGAUACAUAGCCGACCUGAGAGGGUGAUCGGCCACAUUGGGACUGAGACACGGCCCAAACUCCUACGGGAGGCAGCAGUAGGGAAUCUUCGGCCAUGGGCGGAAGUCUGACCGAGCAACGCCGCGUGAGUGAAGAAGGUUUUCGGAUCGUAAAACUCUGUUGGUAGAGAAGAACGUUGGUGAGAGUGGAAAGCUCAUCAAGUGACGGUAACUACCCAGAAAGGGACGGCUAACUACGUG